CUGGCAACACAAUACAGUAACUAUUCCACAGCUAUAGGAAUGGGGAAAUCUCCCUACUGUACCACUGGGUUGAUCUUCCUGAGAAAGCCACUCUUUAUUAUUUCCCUGUGUACUAACCAUGGAGGGAGUUAGGCAAUAUGGUUCAGAUAAAUAUUUUAAAGGCAUAAGAUCUGAAUCUUUGAAACUAAGCAAAGUCAGUCCUGAUUCGUGUUUGGAUGGUUGACUGCCAAAGAAUACCAGAUGAUGUAGGCUAUAUUUCAAAGGAAGUAACAGAACUCUGUAUGGCCUGGAAGAGGAGGAGGUCCACCAGGGUGACACCAGGAGUUACCACACUGGGUGAUACCAACCCUAGUGAUGCCACUGCUGUCUUUAGAACUAAGUGGAUCAGCCAUCAUUCACCAGAGAGAGAAUGAGCCUUAAGGGCCUCAAUCAUUACCUUACUGACACUGGAACUUUUGCUAAAUUAAAAAAAACACAUUUAUUUUCCCCAAGCAUUACUUGAAAUCCAUUCUUGCAGGUGGCUUCCCUGUUCCUCCACAGUAAUAAAAACCAGUAGCAUCAUUUGAGAAAACUGUUAAAGUAAAUUAUAGGGAUUGAUUCUAUCUAUUGCAAGGAAGGUGAGAAAUUUUUGAUACUGUUUUAGUAAAAUUCAAACACAAUUCAGAUUAAAGAGAAUGUGAGGGAUAUAUAUGUGCAUAUUAAUCCAUUUAGAGUCAAGUCUUUGUUUUAUUUAAGACUAUUGAAGACAAGUAAAACAUUAGUGGAGACCAGUGUUUUAAAGUGAAUUUGAAGCUCUGCAGUAUUUUGAUAUUACAUUUGAAAGUAAAAGUGGUAUACCUCUGGACAAUGGAUUGCCCAUUCAGCCAAAUCAUCAUGACAAACCAUAGUUCAGCUGCUUAACCAUAGCUUAGGCUAAUGUUUGAGAUGAGUUUUACUCUUACUGGUAUUUUGGCCAAGGAAAAAGAAUGUGACAAAAACAGAGCUUGUAAAAUAUACCUUUUUUGGAUGAUAACUUCCAAAAUUUACCAGAUAGCAUGACCACUGGCUAUGUUAGCUAUCAAAUCCUUGGUGUUGUGGCCUAAAAGGGGGACCUUUCCAAGCUUUAAAGGAAAGCCUGAAUCUCUGCCCUUAUUUACUAUAUUUAUUUUUGGAUUUGCUUGCUUGCUUUUGAGACUUUUACACAGAAUGUUUGCAAACAUCCUUGCUUAAAAAUUUCUUUUACAGUUUAAUUUGUCAUUCCAUGUUCACUCAGGACAUAAUCAGCCCAUUCAUUGAAAAUGGCUGCAGAGGCUGUUGACAUCAGGAGUUAAAAGUGGGGACAUAGUUUCCUUUCCGUGCAUCAAUACUCGUAGUGAACAUGUUUGCUUUUCCGGUUUAUUUGGUGGGAGUAUAGGCAAUUUCUCAGUUUCCAGUUCCUGAUCACUUUCAAAGAUGGCAAAUUGCACUUGCAUGUUCUUCUAGUAUGGGUUAUUUCUAAGCACAGUGGUUUGUUAGGAAGGUUGAAUACAGGGAAAAGAAGAGAAUAAAUGAAAUGCAGUUGAAGACCAACAGAGGGAUAAGAAGAAAGGUUCUUAACUACAUCUUUCUUUCACUGGUAUCUGAAUAUCAUCAUCAUCAUCAUCAUCAUCAUCAUCAUCAUCAUCAUCGUCACCACCACCACCACCAUCACCACCAUCAUCAUCCUACAAAGUCUCCUCAUUACCCCAGGAUAUCCUGGAAAUGUGUACAUGUUGUGAUAGAGUCAUCAUGUUUGAUUUUGUGUUUCUGGCUUGCUUUCCCAGCUUGCUUCAGUCACUCCUUUUUGGGUGCCACUCACUUCUCUAGGACUAUUACGACUAUUACAAAAAGGCCGUGCCAUUUUACCAGCAGUCACCAGCAAAAGGGAAGGCGCACGGGGUGCCUCGUGGUGCCUCAUGUGCCCUCCCCGCAUCACAUGAUGGGAACAAGGCAGGAUAUGUUGUCACCUUGUCCCCAUCAAAUGGAAGAAAGGACAGCAAUGCACAGCAACAUGCGUUAACCCCCCCCCCCCCCGUUUCCCCAUCAUAUGGCUGAAAAGGGAGGAAAGUGUGGGUAGAUCCAAUGGAGCUACCCGAAAAACACUUUCCUCCCCGUGGUGGUGGAGGAAGCACCUUCUGGCGCUUGCUCUCCACUUUGGGAGGAAUGUGGGCAGGUCCUGCUGAGCGUAGUCUGAUGGUGUUCAGCUGGCCCCAUCCAAACCCUGGCCAAAAGCACCAAAAUGGAGCUAUUUAGCCCCUUUUGAAGAGGUCCUUAGAGCAGAACCACAGAGAGCUUGGAUUCCAGCACUUCUCCACAGAGUCUUUGGAGACCCUAAAUCAGCCAUAAAAGGAAAUUUUUAGACUACUGCAUGAACAUUGCUUUUUAAAACGGCACUUGUCAACGCUGACCCAGAAAAGGAGUAGUGUGGGAAUGCAGGAGAGAAGUUCUCUGAAUGAAAGAGUAGUGUCUGUGUGUUUUCAAGAUAGAUGGGGGGAAGGGAGAGACAGGACAUGGGUGCAGUUGGUCAGACUUUCAGUUUACAAAGCUCUAAGGCUGAUUGACUAAACUUUGUAUAGGACAUCAUUCCCAGAAGGUUCAACUGUUACACAAAGGCAACUGUCUUGUCAGUCAGGAAUCACAAUGUUUGCAUUUUGCUAACAUCCAGUCUAUCAAACAGACCAUAUUUCUCUGUACAAGCCUGUCUGAACCUUGGUGUCUUCAGAAGGGAAAUUACUUUUAGUCCCACCACCUUCACAGGCAACAUGAGAUACGGCUUUCUCAUUGGCAGCCCCUGGGCCCUACAACUCCCAGUUGGGUUAGCCUGACUCCCUUCUUGCUGUCCUUCCUUUGACAGGUGAAUAUGUUUUCAUUCUAAUAGCUUUUUAUCAGUGAAGGUUUUAAAGGAAAAGGCUACUAUGAAGGUACAGAAUUGUUUCAAAUGGAAAGUGCAUUUUAAAACAUUCUCAAUAGUUUAAUUGUAUCUUAAUGUGGACUUAUUUGUUUUUGAUAUAUGCUUUAACAAUUAAAAUCUUGAAGGUAAAUCAUGGGGUAUAGAAGAUGAUGAUAAUAGGGAAACUGUCAUCUGCCAUGACAAAUGUCAUCUUGCAGGGCAGACUAAGUAGGAAGGACCUAUGCCCAUAACCUUUGACUGCAAAUGGUUCCUUUCAUCUUCUAUAGAUUUUGCUAGACCAGCCACCAUGAAGUUGGGAAGCCUUAUAUGAUAACUUGUUGACUGAAAGGUCAGCAGUUUGAAUCUGGGGAGCAGGGUGAGCUCCCGCUGUUAGCCCCAGCUUCUGUCAGCCUAACAGUUCGAAAACAUGUAAAUGUGAGUAGAUCAAUAGGUACCACUCCAGCGGGCAGCUAAUGGUGCUUCAUACAGUCAUGCCAGCCACAUGAUCUUGGAGGCGUCUAUGGACAAUGCUAGCUCUUUGUCUUAGAAAUGAAGGUGAGCACCAAUCCCCAGAGUAGGACAUGACUAGACUUAAUGUCAGGAGAAAACCUUUACCUUUACCUAUUUUGGUCACUAACAGAGCCUACCUCUCUUCCAGAGUACUUUUGUUUGGUUUCUGUGGGGCUUUUGCUGUUGCCAGUGCUGGAGUUUGGUCUCAGAACCAUUGCUUGGUCAUGGAGAUACAUUGUGGUGCCACAAACUGUAUGUAUGUGUGAGUAGGAGAGGUAUAGUGAGUGUGAGAGAGAUAGAGAUUGUUAUACCAGAUGGUACUGAAUAGCUUGUUCUACAAGUCUGCCCCUAUUGAUGUAAGCAGUAGUUAUACCAGCGUAUGUCACCAACAGAAGUCUCUCCACAGUGUGGCAUCAUAUGAUAAAUCCCUCCAUCUGGUUGUCGAUACAUUGCAAAGUGGUGCCCAAAAAGACAUUUACCACAGCCAUAACUUUUAAAGGUGGAUAAGAUAUACCUAGUUCCUGAGCAAAUGUAAGUUAGCAGAGUCAUACUAUCCCACUCUUCCUAAUAAAAAGAGACCAGAAUGCCUCCCACAGGUCUUCUAUUUUCUCAGCUGGGUGUUUGCAGUAGAAAGAGAGACAUUAGGGCUGGAGAUUCAUUAUAUCUGGAGAUCCAAGCUGUUCCCCAGACAUUAGGGGAAGAUACUGACAGUAGGUGACAAGCUACAGCUGCUGAAAUUCCAUCUUCUACAUGGCCAUUAAAGGUACAGGAACUUUGUUCUCUUUUUCAUCCCACUUGGCCAGGAGAAACAGGAAAUCUACUGUAAAAGGAGAAGGCUGAUCCUCAGAUCCAGGAAUAAGGUAGCUCAUCUGUUUGAUGGAAAUGGCAGAUCCAGAGGAGAAAGGAGCAUGUAGCAAGACAGAAAACUUAUCUGCGUCUUGAGGCAAAGCAAAUCGUGAUAUUACACAAGAAACCUCAGGUAGUGGGUGCUGAUGGAAGUGGAGCCAAAAUGGAGCCUCGGAGAGACAAGGAGAAGUUACUGAACACCCAAGGGCUGAAGAUCUACUUAUUUAUCUAAAAGUAUUGAUCCAGUUCCUUGGACUAUUCUUGGUGCCUUGAUUCCUGCAUUCCAGUUUGAUCCUGUGCCUUGGACUCAUUUUGAUAUCCUGUUUGGACUUCGAUCUUUUGGGUGACUUUCAUGGACUCUUGUUUUAAGAUUCUCAAGUAUUUUAUACUUUGUAGACUUAAGCCUUAUUUCAUUGACUUUGAACUCUGUUUUGCUAUUGCCUGCAUAUCAUCUUCAAUAAACAGCCUGCUUUGCUUAUA